UGGUCAAUUUAAACAUCUUCCACUGUUCGCUAGAAAUUAGAAUAUAAAAAUAAAAUGUUCAAGACAAAAAGUAAGGUAUAAUAAUGAAGGGGUUUGUUUCUAUAAAUAAGUAAAGGUUUGAAGAAUUCUAGUAGUCUGCAUUGAAGGAUUAAAUCCAUUAAAUAUAACAUUUUAACAAUAUAGUGGUUAUAUUAAGGAUCUACAAAAUCAAUGUUUAUUUUGCAGGAUAAUUUUGGUAGCAUUCCUUGUAAGUUCAGGAUGCUUUAUACUCAUUAGGCUAGAUUUCAUAAUUGAAUAAUGCAACGAAGCCCAGAAAAAUUAUGAGGGAAUAGAAAUUUAGAAAUCUAAUAUAUGUCUUGCAUUUUCUUUAAAUGUUUUGUUCACAACCUUGUCAUUAUUAGAGCUUUCAUUUGCACUUUGUGACUAAUCCCAACUCCUCUUUAUUUAUUAUUUAUUUAGCUUUCUCACUACUUCUGCUUUCCAAUCUGUUUAAACUAGAUUAUGUUUAUAUUUAACAUUCAUCAGUGAGACUUUUUUUUACAAGUAAAAUACAUGAUAACUUUUAAAUCAUAAUCAUAAGCUUUUAAAAUGUUAUUUUAUUUUACUGGUCAGUAAAAAUCUAACCCAGAAUUAUGAGUAAAAUCAGACUUACUAAAUUUUUAUGGAUAAACUGAGCUCCCCCCAUAUUUUUCCCUGAAUAAAGUUAAAGCUCUCAAUUAUGUUUUAGUAAGUGAAACUCACACCUUAUGGUAAUACCAAAAUUUGAAGAGAAACAACAUGUAAGUCUAUAUCGUAGUAUGUUAUAUGGAGGGAAAAUUCAAGUUCCUUCACUGUAGGGGGAGAAAUGCCAAUAUGACUAUGUUAUUACAAGUUGCACAUCCUGUCUGCUAAGUGAUGAAAUUAAACAAGCAAAGCCACUGGAAUAGUAAAGAGAAUCAUUUGGCUUUGGAAAGAACAGAGGUAUUAUGUUCAAUAGAUUUAUUUUCUUUUUGUUGAAGCAAUGUAUAUACCAUCAGUAUCUUCCAUUUAUUGGAAAGAUACUGGUUAAACUUUAAGUCAAUGAUUCUUCUCCCCAGAAUUCCCUUCUAGCUCUGAUAUCAUUAGAGUCUUAAACUGUCUGCUAUUGUUACUAUCAAACUUGGCUUCCCAUUGUAUAACAGCAAUGUUAGAGUAGGAGUUGAGGAAGGAAAUCUAAAUUUAAAAAAAGAUACAAACUUUAAACUUUGUUGUAUGUUCCAUUUAAUGGUCUGAUACAUGAUUUAUAAAUUAUGUUUGAAAUUUAAUUAUAAUUAACUGUUACAUAAAGUCAAAUUAAUUCAUGGCUUUAAUCCUGAUUGAAUUCAAUGUUUUUCCUACUGCCAAUUUUAUUUCAUUUGAACCUCAAUCAUCUAAGUUAGCUCUGUUUCUUAUCUAUUUACUUUCAUUUGAUUGGAUGCCCUUGAAGAAAAUGUAUCAGGCCAAAAAAAUAAUAUAUAUAUAAUUCCUUAUUUGCCAUUCUAUACAACUCUUCAAGAUCCUAGGAUGUGCUACAUAAUAAAAAUAAUAACUUCAACAGAAAGUCAAGAUGUCACUGAAUUUUGCCAGAGAAACACAAGAAUAACACAUCAAACAGAAGAAGUAUAUGAGAACAAUUUUGCUGGGUAUAUAUUUAUUUCAAUUCAACCAUUUGGAGAAAUAAUGAAAAUUCUGAUGAGUUUUAAAACUCGUAGUACAAAUAUGCAUUGAUCUAUCACCACAGGGGCAUGUGAUGUAAUUGUGGCCAAUGAGACACAAGCCAACAUCUUCUAGACUUUUUCCACUCUUCAGACAAAAGGAAGAGAUGCCUUUCAUCCAACCUUUGAACAGUCUUACGAGAAGCUGUUUGAAGCUGCUAUAGCCAUCUUGUAAGGCUGGAGAGAAUAUCAGACAUUCUAAGGAAGACAGAGAAGACGGUCUCUGAACCAACCCUGUACCACCCUACUUUUAUUAAAAGUUCUUGAUAUGUGACAUAAUA